AGCCGCCGCGGUAAUACGGAGGAUCCAAGCGUUAUCCGGAUUCAUUGGAUUUAGAGGGUCCGUAGGCGGAUUUUUAAGUCAGUGGUGAAAGCCGACAGCUCAACUGUCGAACUGCCAUUGAUACUGGAGAUCUUGAGUACAAAUGAAGUAGGCGGAAUGAGUCAUGUAGCGGUGAAAUGCAUAGAUAUGACUCAGAACACCAAUUGCGAAGGCAGCUUACUAACAUGUAACUGACGCUGAGGGACGAAAGCGUGGGGAGCGAACAGGAUUAGAUACCCUGGUAGUCCACGCCGUAAACGAUCAUCACUCGCUGUUGGCGAUAUACAGUCAGCGGCCAAGCGAAAGUAUUAAGUGAUGCACCUGGGGAGUACGCCGGCAACGGUGAAACUCAAAGGAAUUGACGGGGGCCCGCACAAGCGGUGGAGCAUGUGGUUUAAUUCGAUGAUACGCGAGGAACCUUACCAGGGCUUAAAUGUAGUUUGACCGGUCUGGAAACAGACUUUCUCUUCGGAGCAGAUUACAAGGUGCUGCAUGGUUGUCGUCAGCUCGUGCCGUGAGGUGUUAGGUUAAGUCCUGCAACGAGCGCAACCCCUAUUCUUAGUUGCCAGCGGUUCGGCCGGGGACUCUAAGAAGACUGCCAGCGCAAGCUGAGAGGAAGGUGGGGAUGACGUCAAAUCAUCACGGCCCUUACGUCCUGGGCUACACACGUGCUACAAUGGUAGAGACAGAGGGCAGCCACCUGGUGACAGGGAGCGAAUCCUUAAACUCUAUCUCAGUUCGGAUCGAAGUCUGCAACUCGACUUCGUGAAGCUGGAAUCGCUAGUAAUCGCGCAUCAGCCAUGGCGCGGUGAAUACGUUCCCGGGCCUUGUACACACCGCCCGUCAAGCCAUGGAAGCUGGGGGUACCUGAAGUCGGUAACCGUAAGGAGCUGCCUAGGGUAAAACUAGUAACUAGGGCUAAGUCGUAACAAGGUAGCCG
rnacentral:rRNA from 1 species